CUCUCUCUGUCUCCUUGUCUCUCUGUUUCUCUCUGUCUCCGUGUGUGUGUGUGUGUGUGUGUGUGUGCGCAUCAGGUCAGUCUUCGUCUGUAAUGCUGGUAACCCUCCUCCUCUAGAUAAGUGCAGACGUAGUCAUUUUAAGUGUUUCCUUGUUAUGUCUGAUUAGCUUCAGGAACGGAAGAUCGUCUUUACAUUGAGUUGAACAGAAAGAAAACCGCCUCUUUUCAUACGGAAUGAUUUAUAUGCUGUGUCACACGGGUGUGAAUGGUUCCUUGUGUGGGACAUCUCUGGGACAUUACAACAACGGCAAAAGUUCAGCUGACUACUACUUCUCUAUCUAUGCCUCCGUCGUCAACACUGGGCCAACGUUCAUUCUGUAUCCUACCAACAUUUCUCUUAAAAAUCACCAGCAGCCUUUCUUUUGGUUUUCAAAAUCAAAUGUGACUUCUUCUUGCGGUGACUGUAAAAAACACAUUACUCAUCCAGGUAUUCCUGUUUCUCAGUGA
rnacentral:lncRNA from 13 species